rnacentral:rRNA from 1 species
UAAGGAAUAUUGCUCAAUGGGAGAAAUCCUGAAGCAGCAACGCCGCGUGGAGGAUGAAGGGUCUAUGACUUGUAAACUCCUGUAAAGAAGGAAAAAAUUCCCAUUUGAUGGGAGAUGAUGGUACUUCUGGAGUAAGCCCCGGCUAACUACGUGCCAGCAGCCGCGGUAAUACGUAGGGGGCAAGCGUUGUCCGGAUUUACUGGGUGUAAAGGGUGCUCAGGCGGAUUUGUAAGUCAGAGGUGAAAUCUUACAGCUUAACUGUGAAACUGCCUUUGAUACUGCAAGCCUAGAGUAUGGAAGAGAGUGAUGGAAUAUCUGGUGUAGCAGUGAAAUGCGUAGAUAUCAGAUAGAGCACCAAUGGCGAAGGCAGUCACUUGGUCCAUUACUGACGCUAAAGCACGAAAGCGUGGGUAGCAAACA